rnacentral:tRNA from 1 species
GAAUCUGUGGUUCAGGGGUAGAAUUCAUCGUUGCCAUCGAUGAGGCCGGGGUUCGAGUCCCCGCAGAUUCA